rnacentral:misc_RNA from 1 species
AACGCACAUUGCGCCCUUUGGCAUUCCGAAGGGCAUGCCUGUUCGAGCGUCAUUAUCACCCCUCAAGCCCUGCGCUUGGUGUUGGAUGGCCUGGUCGAGUUCUCCUCGACCCCUCCCAAAGAUAAUGACGGCGGCCUGUGGUUCCCCCGGCACACUGAGCUUUUCACUGAGCACGUGUUGGAUUGAAGGGUACCCGGGCCACGGUCCUCUUCCUAGUAUAAGGAAACUUCACGCAAGGUUGACCUCGGAUCAGGUAGGAAUACGCGCUGAACUUAA